rnacentral:misc_RNA from 2 species
AACCUCACCCCACUUGGGUUUUUGCCCGAGCGGUGGUGGAUUGGGUGUUUGCCGUCACUGGCUCACCUUAAAAGCAUAAGCAACUUUGGAUGUAAUACGUUUCAUCCUUCUAAGUGGCUGAUAACCCCACAUAUCUCAUG